AUACUUUGAGUCCCCUCUCCAAGGGGUUGACUGUGCCCUUUUUAGGAACGUAGCAGCUUGUAGGAAAAUUGGGCAUACCCGAGACUCUGUUGAACAAGGGAUACUUGUUUCCUUGGCCUGCCUUUGGCUGCCUACAUGU